rnacentral:rRNA from 1 species
UACGUAGGGGGCAAGCGUUGUCCGGAUUUAUUGGGCGUAAAGAGCGUGUAGGCGGCUAGAUAGGUCCGUUGUGAAAACUCGAGGCUCAACCUCGAGACGUCGAUGGAAACCAUCUGGCUAGAGUCCGGAAGAGGAGAGUGGAAUUCCUGGUGUAGCGGUGAAAUGCGUAGAGAUCGGGAGGAACAUCAGUUGCGAAGGCGGCUCUCUGGACCAGCACUGACACUGAGGCACGAAAGCGUGGGGAGCAAACAGG